GGUUAAGCGACUAAGCGUACACGGUGGAUGCCCUGGCAGUCAGAGGCGAUGAAGGACGUGCUAAUCUGCGAAAAGCGUCGGUAAGGUGAUAUGAACCGUUACAGCCGGCGAUGUCCGAAUGGGGAAACCCAGUGCAAUUCGUUGCACUAUCGUUUGAUGAAUACAUAGUCAAACGAGGCGAACCGGGGGAACUGAAACAUCUAAGUACCCCGAGGAAAAGAAAUCAACCGAGAUUCCCCCAGUAGCGGCGAGCGAACGGGGAGCAGCCCGGAGUCUGAAUCAGCUUGUGUGUUAGUGGAAGCGUCUGGAAAGUCGCAGGGUACAGGGUGAUACUCCCGUACACUAAAACAUACAGGUUGUGAACUCGAAGAGUAGGGCGGGACACGUGGUAUCCUGUCUGAAUAUGGGGGGACCAUCCUCCAAGGCUAAAUACUCCUGACUGACCGAUAGUGAACCAGUACCGUGAGGGAAAGGCGAAAAGAACCCCGGCGAGGGGAGUGAAAAAGAACCUGAAACCGUGUACGUACAAGCAGUAGGAGCCCACUUGUUGGGUGACUGCGUACCUUUUGUAUAAUGGGUCAGCGACUUAUAUUCUGUAGCAAGGUUAACCGUAUAGGGGAGCCGCAGGGAAACCGAGUCUUAACUGGGCGUUAAGUUGCAGGGUAUAGACCCGAAACCCGGUGAUCUAGCCAUGGGCAGGUUGAAGGUUGGGUAACACUAACUGGAGGACCGAACCGACUAAUGUUGAAAAAUUAGCGGAUGACUUGUGGCUGGGGGUGAAAGGCCAAUCAAACCGGGAGAUAGCUGGUUCUCCCCGAAAGCUAUUUAGGUAGCGCCUCGUGAAUUCAUCUUCGGGGGUAGAGCACUGUUUCGGCUAGGGGGUCAUCCCGACUUACCAACCCGAUGCAAACUACGAAUACCGAAGAAUGUUAUCACGGGAGACACACGGCGGGUGCUAACGUCCGUCGUGAAGAGGGAAACAACCCAGACCGCCAGCUAAGGUCCCAAAGUCAUGGUUAAGUGGGAAACGAUGUGGGAAGGCCCAGACAGCCAGGAUGUUGGCUUAGAAGCAGCCAUCAUUUAAAGAAAGCGUAAUAGCUCACUGGUCGAGUCGGCCUGCGCGGAAGAUGUAACGGGGCUAAACCAUGCACCGAAGCUGCGGCAGCGACACUAUGUGUUGUUGGGUAGGGGAGCGUUCUGUAAGCCGUUGAAGGUGGCCUGUGAGGGUUGCUGGAGGUAUCAGAAGUGCGAAUGCUGACAUAAGUAACGAUAAUGCGGGUGAAAAACCCGCACGCCGGAAGACCAAGGGUUCCUGUCCAACGUUAAUCGGGGCAGGGUGAGUCGACCCCUAAGGCGAGGCCGAAAGGCGUAGUCGAUGGGAAACAGGUUAAUAUUCCUGUACUUGGUGUUACUGCGAAGGGGGGACGGAGAAGGCUAUGUUGGCCGGGCGACGGUUGUCCCGGUUUAAGCAUGUAGGCGGAUGUUCCAGGUAAAUCCGGAACGUUAUUAACGCUGAGGUGUGAUGACGAGGCACUACGGUGCUGAAGUGACAAAUGCCCUGCUUCCAGGAAAAGCCUCUAAGCAUCAGGUAACAUCAAAUCGUACCCCAAACCGACACAGGUGGUCAGGUAGAGAAUACCAAGGCGCUUGAGAGAACUCGGGUGAAGGAACUAGGCAAAAUGGUGCCGUAACUUCGGGAGAAGGCACGCUGAUACGUAGGUGAAGUGGUUUACCCAUGGAGCUGAAAUCAGUCGAAGAUACCAGCUGGCUGCAACUGUUUAUUAAAAACACAGCACUGUGCAAACACGAAAGUGGACGUAUACGGUGUGACGCCUGCCCGGUGCCGGAAGGUUAAUUGAUGGGGUUAUCCGUAAGGAGAAGCUCUUGAUCGAAGCCCCGGUAAACGGCGGCCGUAACUAUAACGGUCCUAAGGUAGCGAAAUUCCUUGUCGGGUAAGUUCCGACCUGCACGAAUGGCGUAAUGAUGGCCAGGCUGUCUCCACCCGAGACUCAGUGAAAUUGAACUCGCUGUGAAGAUGCAGUGUACCCGCGGCAAGACGGAAAGACCCCGUGAACCUUUACUAUAGCUUGACACUGAACACUGGUCCUUGAUGUGUAGGAUAGGUGGGAGGCUUUGAAGCGUGGACGCCAGUCUGCGUGGAGCCAUCCUUGAAAUACCACCCUUUAAUGGCUGGUGUUCUAACGUGGGCCCCUAAUCGGGGUUGCGGACAGUGUCUGGUGGGUAGUUUGACUGGGGCGGUCUCCUCCUAAAGAGUAACGGAGGAGCACGAAGGUCAGCUAAUCCUGGUCGGACAUCAGGAGGUUAGUGCAAUGGCAUAAGCUGGCUUGACUGCGAGCGUGACGGCGCGAGCAGGUGCGAAAGCAGGUCAUAGUGAUCCGGUGGUUCUGAAUGGAAGGGCCAUCGCUCAACGGAUAAAAGGUACUCCGGGGAUAACAGGCUGAUACCGCCCAAGAGUUCAUAUCGACGGCGGUGUUUGGCACCUCGAUGUCGGCUCAUCACAUCCUGGGGCUGAAGUAGGUCCCAAGGGUAUGGCUGUUCGCCAUUUAAAGUGGUACGCGAGCUGGGUUUAGAACGUCGUGAGACAGUUCGGUCCCUAUCUGCCGUGGGCGCUGGAGAAUUGAGGGGGGCUGCUCCUAGUACGAGAGGACCGGAGUGGACGCAUCACUGGUGUUCGGGUUGUCAUGCCAAUGGCAUUGCCCGGUAGCUAAAUGCGGAAGAGAUAAGUGCUGAAAGCAUCUAAGUACGAAACUUGCCCCGAGAUGAGUUCUCCCUGACUCCUUGAGAGUCCUGAAGGAACGUUGAAGACGACGACGUUGAUAGGCCGGGUGUGUAAGCGCAGCGAUGCGUUGAGCUAACCGGUACUAAUGAACCGUGAGGCUUAACCUU
rnacentral:rRNA from 1 species